GCCUGCACUGUGCCACUGUGUACUUGAGGAAUCUAUCAAGAGCCCUGCUAGUUAAUUCUUUCGAGGAAUAGUGAUAUACGCAAAUUAUAUUCCCUUUCUCCUGACACAAAAGUUUGUGUGUGCGUGUGUGUGAGAGAGAAGGAAUCAUCCACUAAUAAAAGCCUGGAUUUGAGACAUCAUUUCAAGUGUUCGAGUUUGCGAGACCUGAGACUUACUCAGAACCUGAAAUCCAUGCCCUACACCUUUAUGUAUCACAUGCUCCACUGCCUUCCUUGCUUUAGCCAAAGCAGCAACAAGCUCCAAGUUUCUAUCUUUCAAAAUAUCCAUCUCUGAUAUGCAGACCAUCACCGGCAACUCCAUCAGAUCCUCCAUUUUCAUUGAUCCUUUUCCCAGAGGGUUGCACCAUGGAUGCUCACGAU
rnacentral:misc_RNA from 1 species